rnacentral:rRNA from 1 species
UACGGGGGGGGCAAGCGUUGUUCGGAAUUACUGGGCGUAAAGGGCGCGUAGGCAGCCUACUAAGUCGGACGUGAAAUCCCUCGGCUCAACCGAGGAACUGCGUCCGAUACUGGCAGGCUGGAAUCCGGGAGAGGGAUGUGGAAUUCCAGGUGUAGCGGUGAAAUGCGUAGAUAUCUGGAGGAACACCGGUGGCGAAGGCGGCAUCCUGGACCGGUAUUGACGCUGAGGCGCGAAAGCUAGGGGAGCAAACGGG